GUAAACACAUGUAAUCUUACACAACCCAUUACCAAACGCUGAAGGCGAGUAUUAUAAUAUGGUGUGGCACCUCAAUGGUCCUCCUGUCUCACGGAAGAAAGGGGGCUGUUAACAUCACUGAGACAACAAUCAAUCGCCUGUUUCUCAUCGUCUGUCAGAGCGGUGUGUCAGCACACCUCUGCUUCUUCUCCUCUAAAUCGGGGUCCAAAUCUUUGCAGUCCAGCGGGCGGAUGCUCUAAUGUGGAUUUCGCCAGCAAAAAUGUAGUUGCGCAACUUUACUUUUCAUAAUAUGCACGUAAACGCAUCAGUGGCUCAUCCGGUGAGUGCUGCCCCUCUCCCCACCCCGGUCACCAUAACAGGGAAUACAGAGGAUGACCUGGCCGUGUGCCGGUUUGGCAGACGCAUGCAAACUAAAACAGCUGUAAGAUAAGCUCCUCACCUCUCACCAUACACCAAACCAAAGAGCAACAGGGCUGCACUAGUCAACAUCCGGUCUCUGACUGAAGGGGAGGUGAUCUCUGAGCUCUGCUCCAGGCUGGCAGGCUUCUCCAGCAAUGGCAGGGCAGAGGACCUGGCCACUUUACUCAGAGCAUGUGUUGAGUUUGGCCUGGAGGCCCACAGCCCUCUAGUCCUCAGGCUGAUAAAUGAGUGUCUGGAGCUCCUCUGCAACAGGGACAUUGGGGUGGCACAGCUGUGGGCCUGGGCGGGGUGAGUAUACACCCUGGAAGGCCGCCAGUCAGCCAUGGCGACAGAGGUCCUGGACUCUGUAGGGGAUGCUGUAGAAGAGGAUGGUGUCUCUCCCAGCGAGGCUGCCAGAGUCUACUCCCCUGCUGGCUUUGUGUCACGAUCCUGCCAGCCAGCAGCCGAAACUUGUUGCAAACUUUGCACGGAUACACGCAGAGGCUGGUCCAGCGGCUAAAAGCCAGUCAAGUCAGCGAUAUACUGCAGUUCCUGGCCAUUUCCCUGGUGCUGAGGCUGAGUCACAGAGCAUCUCGGGUCUUCAAAGCUUUUAGUGAUGAUGAAGUUAUUAAGGUGCUCUCUGCACUGAUGAUCCUGGGACAGCAUGAUGAGCAGCCCCUGGCUGCUAUGGAGAAACACUUAUCAGGGAGGCAGGGAAAGUGUGAUCCCGAGGUGAUCAGCACCGUCAUGGACUACUGUCUGCAAAUGAGGUGCCGCUCUGAGCCAAUCUUUGAGGCUGUGGCUGAGAACUUCGUAUGCCAUGCUGAAAGGCACACCACCCUUCAGAUAGCCAAACA